ensembl:lncRNA
AGGAAGAGCUGACAUCGAAGGACAAAAAUUGACAUUGCUAUGAACGCUUGGCCGCCACAAGCAAGUUGUGGAGGGUUAUUAUCACUUGGUUUGAACAGCUGCCACCUUUCUGUCAGCAAUAUUUUAGUCUUUUUGGAUUUGUUGAUAUAAAUUGUGUGUUUCUUGUGAAACUGCAGAUUCUCCUCCGAGGCCCACAUUACAAGUCUCAGGUGAUCAGAAUGAGCUGAAGGAGAAGGAGUCUGUCACUAUAACCUGCUCAGCUCCCACUCCCUGUCCACACCUCCCUCCUCGACUCACCUGGAGCCUCCAACAAGACGCUCACAGGCAAACAGAGGAAAACACUGAUGGAACUUUAACCACUAAGAUCCAGCAGACCAUCACUCUGUCAGACCAACAUGAUGGAUUCAAGCUCAGCUGCUCUGCUGUGUAUCCUGUUGAUGGAGGACAACAUGUGAAAACAGCUGUGGCAGAGUUCACUCUCAGAGUUUCUUGUAAGUGAUCCUGUCAGCACAUCACAGUUCAGAUGUUUCUGAUCAAUCAGGUGAACAAGAGUCACUUUUUCCUCCCUCAGAUGCUCCUAAAGACACGUCAGCCUCCAUCAGUCCAUCAGGUUUGGUGUCUGCAGGGAGCUGGGUGAACCUGAGCUGCUCCAGCAGAGCCAGACCUGCUGUCAACUACACCUGGUUCAAGAUCAGUGAUCAUGGAGCAGUCAGAGUGUCUGAAGGAGACUUUUACAGCUUUAAUGUGACGGAAGGAGGAGAAUAUUACUGUGUGGCUGCAAAUCAUCUGGGAAAUCAGACUUCAGAAGAGAUUCUUCUGACUGUUGAAGGUAAUGAGAGCAAAAUUACAAAAAUUCUAUUGGUCUCUGCUGACAUGCUGUCAUGAAUCAAUCCUGAAGAAUUAAAGUCAGAACAAACUUUACCUACUUAACUGAUAGUGACAACAGAUUUCACUGUUUCUCUCAGAUCCUUCUCUGCAUCUGAACACCAUGACUGGAGUAGUUGUUGGGAUCAUCGUGUUCAUCUGCCUGCUGCUCGGUGUUUACAUCUUCAUGUGUUGGAGGAGAAGAAAGAACAGAAAUUUAACUGUACAAGUGGGUCAGAGUCAGACAGGUGAAGAGCUGGCUGCUGAAGAGCCUGCAGAAAAACCUCAGGAAGAGGGAGAAAACGUCCACUAUGGAAAGAUCCACUUCUCCAAGUAGAAACCUGAACCGUCCUCCAAGUCUGAGAUCAGAAGCAAGCAGGAGGACACUGUGUACGCAGAGGUCAGAGGCUCUCAGCCGGGAAACAGCUCCACACACACUGCUGACCACCCCAGGGAUCUCAACUGUCUUUACGCUGAAGUGAAGAAGAAAUGAGAAUAUUCUGUUGGAUUUACUGAGGUGUGAAGUCAUGAAGUACAGAUACUUUACUUCUGUACUUGAGGAGAUUGCAGUACUUCAUUUGAGUGAUCAUUUUUGAGUCUUUCCUGCUCUCAAACACAAAUAUCUGUACUUUCUACUCCUCACAUUGUCAGAAUUUGCUUGUGACUUUUUUUAAACUGUUGCCAAAUAAACCUGGAAUAAUUUGAAUUAACAACAUUUAAAGUGAACUAUGGAGAAAAGGCAUCAACAGGGUUUAUCAGUCUGAGAGACAAAAUAAAAUCCAAUUCAUGUCAGUUUUGACCAAGAAAAACUCUGGCAGCUGCAUAGAAGAACUUCCUGUGUUCAGAAGGACACACUUUCCUUUAAACUGGGUGUGAAGGCGUUAAGGUGACCUGCACAACGUACUUAGAUCCACCACCUACUGUAUCUCCACUCUAACCCUGAAAUUUAUGCUUUUUCACUUUUUUCCACAAGUCAGAACCAAUAGUUCUCACAGACUUAAAUAAGUGUCUUUAUGUUUCCUAUUUUUUAAAUCCUGGAUCUGUACCUCUGCUGAAGUAGUGGCUGUCAGCGCUCUUCCUCCUUUGCAGUGAUAAAAUAUGCUCAUCAGAAUGACACAGUAUCUCUCAUGUCAUUUAAAUAAAGAGGAACUUGAUACUUUCCAUAUGUCCUUCAUUAAUUCAGUGUCAUUUGUGUUGAUUUGUUGAUGCAAUUUACAGUUUCUUAUUUGCAUGUGAGAAAGAACUACAUCUUCCUAUUUAAGUUUUUGAGACAUGGAAAACCUGUUACCAGGUCCAGUGUUUGAGGUUUUGAUAUUGGUAAAUGGACUACAGUUAUAUGCGCUUUUUACACUGCUAGUGCAGAGCCCGAGGCGCUUCAGACUGCAAUUUAUUUCACCCAUUCACACACCAGUGGAGUCGUUGCCAUGCGAGGUGCUCAGUCCAUCCACUGGGAGCAGUUAGAGGUUCAGUGCCUUGCCCAAGGACACUUUCGCAAAUGGACAGCGGAGCUGGAGAAUCAAACCAACAACAUCCCGAUUGUGAUGUUGCCACAGCUGCCCCAAGCUUACUGAGCUUCUUCACUGUCCCUCCUCAAGUUUUGUGUUUUUCUUUAAAGUUAAAUAUUCUGUAAACUUGACAAUAUCUACUGUUGUUUUGUUAUUUUGUAAAAAUCUGCACAUUUAUUCCCAAUAAACUCUCCCUACAACUCAGAGCAGAAGAUC